AGCGGAGCGGAUGUGGGCAUAAUCCUUGGCGUCAUUCCGGCUGUCGCAGGACAUGCAGUUACCCUGCAAGCACCACACCAACAGGUUCAGUGUGGCUACACUGUAUAAUGGGGCCCCUCCCAUAGCUCCAUGUCCAAAUCAGAGCAAAUUGCUGAUGGUGAAUACUGUGACAUCACAUCUUAAGUAAUAAAGCUCAAAAAAUUAUUAAGUAUGCAGCAAGACACUGGCACAGGCUGCCCAGAGGCUGUGGCUAUCCCAUCCGUGGAAAUGUCCAAGGCCAGGCUGGACAGGGCUUGGAGCAACCUGGGAUAGUGGAAGGCACCCCUGCUGUGAUGGAACUGGAUGAGCUUUAAGGUCCCUUCCAACCAAAACCAUUCUGUGAUUCUAUGAUGAAUGCUACACCAAGAAAUGCACCAAAAUAAAAUUGGAUGAACCCCAGUGAAUUUGAUCCUGCUGUUGUUCAAAGCAAUAGGUCUGCCCAGAUAGAUGGUGUUAGCAAAACUGCCUCUUCCUGGCAGUUCCUGCCUCUUCCUUCCUCUUUCCUAAUUAAGAGAUUGAUGUCAGGAUCAAAGGGUUUAAUUUGCACAUGGCACUAUCUGUCAUAUUUUCUCUCCAGCUAAAUCAAAGUGGCCUUGUCAUUUCUGCAUCACCAAGUCCUGGAUACCAAACAUCAUUUUAUGUUAAACUAGUUAUUUCUCUGAACUUGAAGCGAGGUGGAUUGGGUGUAAAAGUUUGCAAUUUAAACUGUUCACUCAGCAGUCCUCUUGCCUACA